AUUAAUUCGAUGCAACGCGAAGAACCUUACCAAGGCUUGACAUAUACGAGAACGGGCCAGAAAUGGUCAACUCUUUGGACACUCGUAAACAGGUGGUGCAUGGUUGUCGUCAGCUCGUGUCGUGAGAUGUUGGGUUAAGUCCCGCAACGAGCGCAACCCUCGUUCUAUGUUGCCAGCACGUAAUGGUGGGAACUCAUGGGAUACUGCCGGGGUCAACUCGGAGGAAGGUGGGGACGACGUCAAAUCAUCAUGCCCCUUAUGUCUUGGGCUUCACGCAUGCUACAAUGGCCAGUACAAAGGGCUGCAAUACCGUAAGGUGGAGCGAAUCCCAAAAAGCUGGUCCCAGUUCGGAUUGAGGUCUGCAACUCGACCUCAUGAAGUCGGAGUCGCUAGUAAUCGCAGAUCAGCAACGCUG
rnacentral:rRNA from 1 species